UCAUCUUCUAAUGUAUGUAAUGAUUUGGGGACCGAUUGUUACAGUAGGUCAGUACAUUAUUCGUCCUUAAUUUUUAGGACCAAUGCAAAGGCGCUUUUACUUCUUGGGACCUGUGUCUAUAUUCAACACUGGCUGAAGGGAGAACAGUCUCCUCUCUCUGCUGACUAAUGAUAUAAUAUUAAAUGAAUUUGGAUAGCCUCAAUCCAGCUGCCAAUGAACAGUGCAGAGUACAAAGUUAACUCCACUAAUUGUCAAUCCCACCAAGGGAAGCUGUUGGGUGUUACGUAGAUGGAAUAGUUGUUCUUCAGAAGAAAAGUCUGAGGCACAUGGCUGGAGCAGAGUAGAGGGAUCUUUAUUAUGGAUCAAAGUGCCAUAAUCUGAUGUUUGAUUGCUUAAUGGAAAUGCUGAAUAUCUUAAACGAAAACUGUUCUAGAAAUGCUGAAUAUCUAAAACGAAAAUUGCCUAGUAUGGAAAAGAAAUGUUUCGGGCACAGUCAAGGUAUAUUCUCUCAAAAAGGAAAGGUACGUCAAACAAAUCCAGAGCUCCCCGGAUGAAAAAGGAAAUAAAGUUAACUUAUGGUAGAAAAUGUGUGCUCAUGACAGGUUUCAAGUAGAAAAUACAAUUGAAAAUCAAGCUGAGUACAAAAGGUUUAUAAAAGCAAAUAAGCGGUGAAGAGGAAUUAUGAGAAAAGACUGGCAACCAACAUAAAGGGGAAUCCCAAAGUCUUCUAUUGGCAAAUAAAUAGUAAAAGCGUGGUAAAAGGAUCAGUAAAGCUGAUUAGGGACCAAAAAUGGGAUUUACAUGUCGAUGCAGGGGGCAUGGCUGAGGUAUUAAAUGAGUACUUUGCAUUUGUCUUUAUCAGGGAAGCAGAUGCUACUCAGGCCAUGGUGACAGAGAAGGAAACUCUAUUGCUAGAAAGGUUCAAAAUUAACAGGGGGGGCGGGGGCCAUGGAAGUCGGAAUCCGCUAAGGAGUGUGUAACAACUCACCUGCCGAAUCAACUAGCCCUGAAAAUGGAUGCCGCUGGAGCGUCGGGCCCAUACCCGGCCGUCGCUGGCAAUGGGAGAGCCCGUGGGGGCUAUGCUGCGAUGAGUAGAAGGGCCGCUGCAGCGAGCACGGAAGCCCAGGGCCCGGGCCCGGGUGGAGCCGCCGCAGGUGCAGAUCUUGGAGGUAGUAGUAAAUAUUCAAACAAGAACUUUGAAGGCUGAAGUGGAGAAGGGUUCCAUAGCACAGCAGUUGAACAUGGGUCAGUCGGUCCUAAGAAAUAGGCGAACGCCGUUCCGAAGGGACGGGCGAUGGCCUCUGUUGACUUCAGCCGAUCGAAAGGGAGUCUGGUUCAGAUCCCCGAAUCCGGAGUGGCGUCCAGUGCGGUAACGCAAACGAUCCCGGAGAAGCCGGUGGGAGCCCCGGGAAGAGUUCUCUUUUCUUUGUGAAGGGCAGGGCACCCUGGAAUGGGUUCGCCCCGAGAGAGGGGCCCAUGCCUUGGAAAGCAUUGCGGUUCCGGCGGCGUCUGGUGAGCUCUCACUGGCCCUUGAAAAUCCAGGGGAGAUGAUGUAAAUCUCGCGCCGGGCCGUACCCAUAUCCGCAGCACGUCUCCCAGGUGAACAGCCUCUGGUAUGUUGGAACAAUGUAGGUAAGGGAAGUCGGCAAGUCAGAUCCGUAACUUUGGGAUAAGGAUUGGCUCUAAAGGCUGGGUCGGUCGGGCUGGGGUGCGAAGCGGGGCUGGGCAAGUGCCGCGGCUGGACGAGGCACUGCCCUCCGGGGCGGUGGCGACUCUGGACGCGCUCCAGGCCCUUCCUGGGGAUCGCCCCAGCUGCGGUGCUCAUCGGCCUCCUCGGCAGGCGAGUGGCCUCGGCCGGCGCCUAGCAGCUGACUUAGAACUGGUGCAGGCCAGGACUGUUUAAUUAAAGCGAAGGCCGCUGGCGGAUGUUGACGUGAUGUGAUUUCUGCUCAGUGCUCUGAAUGUCAAAGUGAAGAAAUUCAAUGAAGCGCGGGUAAACGGCGGGAGUAACAAUGAGUCUCUUAGAGGGGACUCCCGAGAGUGUCAAUUCUGGAUAGUUACCCUUGUGGUGUUUUCAUGCGUUUUUGUCACCACAUAGAAAGGCGUGCCUCCACGACGGCCCCGAUGGUAAACUCAAUAGUAGGAACGGACUAUUGAGGGACUAAACGUCGAGAAAAAGCACGAGACGGUUGUGAUCUAAGUGGAUCUGAUAUCUUGCGAUAUUGCCUGUGAAAAUAUUUUUUGUGGAAAUGCUAUCAAUGAUAGUUGAGACCGGAUGGGCUGCGUCCCGGAAGACAAACCGCCCCGCAGAAGCGUCAGCAGCAGCGCUCUGUGAAAAGUGCCGAUGCUGCACAUGUUCUAGCCAACCCACCGGGCUAGUAGCAGUGUCCAGGUAACAGGAAGACGAGAGACCAAUCGGACAAUACCUCCUUCCCAAUUGGGAGUUGGAUCCGGGUGCCAGACCCGAAAGACCAGUAUCCCCAAUAGUAGAUGACACAAGCACUGCUAUAGAAGAACCUGAGCGGGCGACCCACCUGACAGGAGAAGUAGUAGCUCUGGUAACCCAGACCUUCUAUAGUAAAAAAUACGCUAAAGGGAACCCGGGAACAGUGACUAAAACAAAUCUGGGCGUACAAACUAUGUGCGAAGAAACAUCCGAUGUGACGACCUUCAUGGAAGAGGUUGUUAUCGAACCCAGCUAUGACAGAACAGCAGUCAAAGAAGUGACGAUCCACUAUCCCACCGAUGGGUUGU
rnacentral:rRNA from 1 species